GACGAACGCUGGCGGCGUGCUUAACACAUGCAAGUCGAGCGGAAAGGCCCUUCGGGGUACUCGAGCGGCGAACGGGUGAGUAACACGUGAGUAAUCUGCCCUGUGCUCUGGGAUAGCCACCGGAAACGGUGAUUAAUACCGGAUAUGACCAGCUACUGCAUGGUGGUUGGUGGAAAGUUUUUCGGCACAGGAUGUGCUCGCGGCCUAUCAGCUUGUUGGUGAGGUAAUGGCUCACCAAGGCUUUGACGGGUAGCCGGCCUGAGAGGGUGACCGGUCACACUGGGACUGAGACACGGCCCAGACUCCUACGGGAGGCAGCAGUGGGGAAUAUUGGACAAUGGGCGGAAGCCUGAUCCAGCAACGCCGCGUGAGGGAUGACGGCCUUCGGGUUGUAAACCUCUUUCAGUACCGACGAAGCGAAAGUGACGGUAGGUACAGAAGAAGGACCGGUCAACUACGUGCCAGCCGCCGCAGUAAGAC
rnacentral:rRNA from 1 species